CGGGACACGUGGUAUCCUGUCUGAAUAUGGGGGGACCAUCCUCCAAGGCUAAAUACUCCUGACUGACCGAUAGUGAACCAGUACCGUGAGGGAAAGGCGAAAAGAACCCCGGCGAGGGGAGUGAAAAAGAACCUGAAACCGUGUACGUACAAGCAGUGGGAGCCCCACCACUAAGCCAGUGGUGAACUCCACAUACGCAUCCUUUGCUGAGGAUACGGUUAACGGAGCGAAAGCGACGUUCAACCGCAAAAGAAGCAGAGGGGGCUUAGUGGUGGGGUGACUGCGUACCUUUUGUAUAAUGGGUCAGCGACUUAUAUUCUGUAGCAAGGUUAACCGUAUAGGGGAGCCGGAGGGAAACCGAGUCUUAAUUGGGCGUUAAGUUGCAGGGUAUAGACCCGAAACCCGGUGAUCUAGCCAUGGGCAGGUUGAAGGUUGGGUAACACUAACUGGAGGACCGAACCGACUAAUGUUGAAAAAUUAGCGGAUGACCUGUGGCUGGGGGUGAAAGGCCAAUCAAACCGGGAGAUAGCUGGUUCUCCCCGAAAGCUAUUUAGGUAGCGCCUCGUGAAUUCAUCUCCGGGGGUAGAGCACUGUUUCGGCUAGGGGGCCAUCCCGGCUUACCAACCCGAUGCAAACUGCGAAUACCGGAGAAUGUUAUCACGGGAGACACACGGCGGGUGCUAACGUCCGUCGUGAAGAGGGAAACAACCCAGACCGCCAGCUAAGGUCCCAAAGUCAUGGUUAAGUGGGAAACGAUGUGGGAAGGCCCAGACAGCCAGGAUGUUGGCUUAGAAGCAGCCAUCAUUUAAAGAAAGCGUAAUAGCUCACUGGUCGAGUCGGCCUGCGCGGAAGAUGUAACGGGGCUAAACCAUGCACCGAAGCUGCGGCAGCGA
rnacentral:rRNA from 1 species